GGUGAACGCUGGCGGCGUGCUUAAGACAUGCAAGUCGAACGGCAGUCUUCGGACGGUAGUGGCGCACGGGUGAGUAACGCGUAACUGACCUACCCCAAGGUCGCGGAUAACGAUUCGAAAGAAUCGCUAAUACGUGAUGUGCUGUCAGAUUGUGUUCUGCCAGUAAAGAUUGAUUGCUUUGGGAUGGGGUUGCGUUCCACCAGCUAGUUGGUGGGGUAAAGGCCCACCAAGGCGACGACGGAUAGCCGGCCUGAGAGGGUGGCCGGCCACAGGGGCACUGAGACACGGGUCCCACUCCUACGGAGGCAGCAGUUAGGAAUCUCCCACAAUGGGCGAAAGCCUGAUGGAGCGACGCCGCGUGAGGGAUGAAGGUCUUCGGAUCGUAAACCUCUGAAUCAGGGACGAAAGACACUUCGGUGGGAUGACGGUACCUGAGUAAUAGCACCGGCUAACUCCGUGCCAGCCGCCGCAGUAAUAC
rnacentral:rRNA from 1 species